UUUCCGUAGGUGAACCUGCGGAAGGAUCAUUACCGAGUGAGGGUCUCUCAGGCCCGACCUCCCACCCUGUUGUUUUGUGACCUUGUUGCUUUUGCUGGCCCGCCUCGAUGAAAGGCCGCCGGAAGAUCACAACUUUGGACACGUUCCAGCAACUAGCCCCCUUAAAUUCUUAAUAAACCUGUAGUCAGCGGUAAGGGAGAUAAUGAAACAAAACUUUCAACAACGGACAUCUUUGUUUAUGCCUCGAUGAAGAACACAAAAGAAAGGAAAAGCACACGU
rnacentral:misc_RNA from 1 species